UACGUAGGUGGCGAGCGUUGUCCGGAAUUACUGGGUGUAAAGGGCGUGUAGGCGGGGAUGUAAGUCAGAUGUGAAAUCCCAUGGCUCAACUGUGGGGCUGCAUCUGAAACUAUGUCUCUUGAGUGCCGGAGAGGGAAGCGGAAUUCCUAGUGUAGCGGUGAAAUGCGUAGAUAUUAGGAGGAACACCAGUGGCGAAGGCGGCUUUCUGGACGGUAACUGACGCUGAGGCGCGAAAGCGUGGGGAGCAAAC
rnacentral:rRNA from 1 species